UUUGCCGCUGGCGGACUACAACCCCCAGAGUGCACCGCGAAAGAGGGCGGCGGUUCCCUUGGUAAAAAUGGACCAUAGCAGCGCCACCACCUGGAUUGGCUUUCUCAAUCGUAUGAGGACGGGCCAUGGGGCGGGGAGCCAAUCAGGAGGAGUAAGCAGAGGCGCUUGAACCCCACGGGAGCUGUGGAUUGGCUGGCGGGGGAACAAAAGGGGUGGGAAGAGAAGGCGGGAAACAAACCAGCCCAUGGUGGGAGGGAAUAAUGGGUGGGUGCGCUGCCGCAAAGGAGUGUUUGCUUUUAAAAGUUUCGCAAGCCUUCUGACCUCACAGGGUUCUUCGUCAAGGAAAUAUUGUGCCGUUAAGACUACGGUUUUUUAUCUUACUGCUUCUGAAGCGAAGCUGGUCUGGUUUAGAUCUGUUGCCUGUUGGUGAUAGCAGUGUUGAUUUGGUUCACAAAAGGAAUAUAUCAAUCUGGGGGGAGGGAAGACUCACAGUAUAACAAGCAAUUUUUUCACCCUCCAUAGAUUCAUGCGGAGUGUGUAACCUGAAGCGUAUGUAACCCGAGGUACCACUGUACUUGUGAAGCCACACUGUUAUUCUGUUCAGCCACCUGGUCUCAAACUGUACCACCCACGCAGAGGCUGGGUUUCUUCACAAAGGAAAUGGGGUCAGGAUGAUCUCAGACCCUUUUUCUCGACAUUGCCGUUUCAAACGCUGGCUCGGGGCUCCUGGGCGCAGCUGACGACUUUGGGGGAUGCAGUUCCCGCAGUGCCUCGUUUUGAUCUGCGCAGCAGUAUUACCAGUCCAGUUACUCUUACUGUACCAGACGGAGCCGUUCCAUUUUGUGGAUACCGGGAGCCCAGCCCAACUUGAGUGCUUUUCUACAGAAAGCGUGGAAGACAAAGGCUUGUCCUUCAGCUGGUAUAAAAGGAGAGAGGAUGGCACACCCCUUUUAAUUAAAAAAUGCUCAGGGAAGGAAGAUGGAGGCAGGUUUGCUUGCAAGGCAGAAGGAAAAAAUCUGGUCUUGGCCAUCACCCAGGUCCAAAAGGAAGAUUCUGGCCUGUAUAUGUGCGCAAAGAGAAAUCCCACCUUGACUUUCAGCAAUGGCUCCUCACU